AGAGUUUGAUCCUGGCUCAGAUUGAACGCUGGCGGCAGGCCUAACACAUGCAAGUCGAGCGGUAGCACAGAGAGCUUGCUCUCGGGUGACGAGCGGCGGACGGGUGAGUAAUGUCUGGGAAACUGCCUGAUGGAGGGGGAUAACUACUGGAAACGGUAGCUAAUACCGCAUAACGUCGCAAGACCAAAGUGGGGGACCUUCGGGCCUCAUGCCAUCAGAUGUGCCCAGAUGGGAUUAGCUAGUAGGUGGGGUAACGGCUCACCUAGGCGACGAUCCCUAGCUGGUCUGAGAGGAUGACCAGCCACACUGGAACUGAGACACGGUCCAGACUCCUACGGGAGGCAGCAGUGGGGAAUAUUGCACAAUGGGGGAAACCCUGAUGCAGCGACGCCGCGUGAGUGAAGAAGUAUUUCGGUAUGUAAAGCUCUAUCAGUAGGGAAGAAAAUGACGGUACCUAACCAAGAAGCCCCGGCUAACUACGUGCCAGCAGCCGCGGUAA
rnacentral:rRNA from 1 species